AUGACAGAGCAGGGAAAGACGCGCGUGUCGGGCUCCCUAGGCGGCAGUCUCCCCCUUCCCGAUCUCGCAUUCCCCACCGCGGUCCGACGAGGAACCUGCCGAGCAUCAAGUUCCCGAGCAAGUUAUCUGAUUCCCGCAGCCCCUCCACCUGCCGGGCGGUGCUGCGCGCACCCCAGGCUUCCCCCCGGCGACCCCCCGCGGGCUGCAGCAAAAAACCCGGGGUGCUCCGCGGGGCGGGGGCGGGCGGCUGCCGGGGAUCCGGCCGGCUACCGCCGCAGCUCAGUGGCCUCCGAUUGGCCACGACGCGGGCGGGGAAGCUCGGCGGAGGAGGGAGGCGGGGGCGGGGGCGAGGGCGGCGGCGGCGGCGGGAGGGGAGAGGCGAGGAGCGAGGGCCGCGCAGCCUGGCAGCGCGUGCGGCGAGCGCGGGGAGAGCGGCGGCGGCGGCGGCUCGCGUCGGUCGCGCUCGCGGAGGCCGAGCGGGGUGCGCGGGCGGCGGCGGCGGCGGCGGGGGUGGGGCGGCGCGCGCGAGUGAGCGGCGCCGGGCAAGGAGCGGCGGGCGGGUGCCGGCGCGCAGGCAGCAGGGGCGGCCGCGGCGGCGGCGGCGGCAGCUGCGCGGGACGGAGCCGCGGCAGUAGCGGCCGCGCCGGCCCCCGGCCUCACCCCCGCGCGGCCCAGGCCGGAGAACAAGCCCCAACUCUCCCGGGGGGCCGGAAAGGGGGAGCCGGGAGGCGGCCGUCAGCCCGCACGCAGCGGAGGCGCGGGGCGGCGGGACCGCUGCCCUUUGUGGGCGCAGCGCGCACGGCCCGGAGCGCCCUCCCCGCGCCGCUCCCCUCGGCGUCCUGGUCCAGCAGAGCGGCCCUGGAGAGGGGGCCCGGAGGAAGCCGAGCCGAGAGCCCGAAACCUCGCGUUGCGGAGCUGCCCGGGAGCGCCCAGCCGCGCCGCGCCGCUUCCACCUCCGCAUCCUACAGCGGCCAAGGUCCCCGCCGCCCGCAUCCCUCCGGCUUCCGCUGCGCUUAG
rnacentral:lncRNA from 1 species